rnacentral:rRNA from 1 species
GAUGAACGCUGGCGGCGUGCCUAAUACAUGCAAGUCGAGCGAACAGAUGAGGAGCUUGCUCCUCUGACGUUAGCGGCGGACGGGUGAGUAACACGUGGAUAACCUACCUAUAAGACUGGGAUAACUUCGGGAAACCGGAGCUAAUACCGGAUAAUAUAUUGAACCGCAUGGUUCAAUAGUGAAAGACGGUUUUGCUGUCACUUAUAGAUGGAUCCGCGCCGCAUUAGCUAGUUGGUAAGGUAACGGCUUACCAAGGCAACGAUGCGUAGCCGACCUGAGAGGGUGAUCGGCCACACUGGAACUGAGACACGGUCCAGACUCCUACGGGAGGCAGCAGUAGGGAAUCUUCCGCAAUGGGCGAAAGCUUGACGGAGCAACGCCGCGUGAGUGACGAAGGUCUUCGGAUCGUAAAACUCUGUUAUUAGGGAAGAACAAAUGUGUAAGUAACUAUGCACGUCUUGACGGUACCUAAUCAGAAAGCCACGGCUAACUACGUG